GGGGAAUCUUAGACAAUGGGGGCAACCCUGAUCUAGCCAUGCCGCGUGAGUGAUGAAGGCCUUAGGGUCGUAAAGCUCUUUCGCCGGGGAAGAUAAUGACGGUACCCGGUAAAGAAACCCCGGCUAACUCCGUGCCAGCAGCCGCGGUAAUACGGAGGGGGUUAGCGUUGUUCGGAAUUACUGGGCGUAAAGCGCGCGUAGGCGGAUCGGAAAGUUGGGGGUGAAAUCCCGGGGCUCAACCCCGGAAUUGCCUUCAAAACUCCCGGUCUUGAGGUCGAGAGAGGUGAGUGGAAUUCCGAGUGUAGAGGUGAAAUUCGUAGAUAUUCGGAGGAACACCAGUGGCGAAGGCGGCUCACUGGCUCGAUACUGACGCUGAGGUGCGAAAGCGUGGGGAGCAAAC
rnacentral:rRNA from 1 species